AAGCGUGCGCAGGCGGUUUUGUAAGACUGUCGUGAAAUCCCCGGGCCUCAACCUGGGAAUGGCGAUGGUGACUGCAAGGCUAGAGUUUGGCAGAGGGGGGUAGAAUUCCACGUGUAGCAGUGAAAUGCGUAGAUAUGUGGAGGAACACCGAUGGCGAAGGCAGCCCCCUGGGUCAAAACUGACGCUCAUGCACGAAAGCGUGGGGAGCAAACAGGAUUAGAUACCCUAGU
rnacentral:rRNA from 1 species